GGCCCAGCUUGGUUCUGCUCUCAGCACACCCUCGACUCCAUGGCACCUGCUGUGACCAAGCCCACCGUGCCUGGCCAUACCUGAGCUGUCUCACCUGGGCCCUGAGACUGCUGGAGGUGCUGGAACGGAUGCACACCCAAGCGCAGGAAGGCGAAACUUUUCAAAAACACAUUCUGCAAUUUCAGACCACAGUGACUACAGGAAGCAGCAGGGCCAAGGGUCCAUACUCUGUCCUGCC
rnacentral:lncRNA from 1 species